GUCUACAGCCAUGCCACCCUGAACAAGCCCGAUCCCGUCUGAUCUCGGAAGCUAAGCAGGGUCGGGCCUGGUUAGUACUUGGAUGGGAGACCACCUAGGAAGACCAGGUGCUGUAGGCG
rnacentral:rRNA from 1 species